rnacentral:rRNA from 1 species
UACGUAGGGUGCGAGCGUUGUCCGGAAUUACUGGGCGUAAAGAGCUCGUAGGCGGUUUGUCGCGUCGUCCGUGAAAACUUGGGGCUCAACCCCAAGCUUGCGGGCGAUACGGGCAGACUUGAGUACUGCAGGGGAGACUGGAAUUCCUGGUGUAGCGGUGAAAUGCGCAGAUAUCAGGAGGAACACCGGUGGCGAAGGCGGGUCUCUGGGCAGUAACUGACG